UACGUAGGCAGCGAGCGUUGUUCGGAAUUACUGGGCGUAAAGAGUGUGUAGGCGGUGCUCUAAGUUCGGUGUGAAAUCUCCUGCUUAACUGGGAGGGUGCGCCGGAAACUGGGGUGCUGGAGCGCGGGAGAGGAAAGCGGAAUUCCUGGUGUGAGCGGUGAAAUGCGCAGAAUAUCGGGAGGAACACCGGUGGGCGAAGGCGGCGUCUACUGGGAAC
rnacentral:rRNA from 1 species